AGAACGAACGCUGGCGGCAUGCCUAAUACAUGCAAGUCGAACGAGCACUUCGGUGUUAGUGGCGCACGGGUGCGUAACGCGUGGGAAUCUGCCCUUGGGUUCGGAAUAACUUCGGGAAACUGAAGCUAAUACCGGAUGAUGACGUAAGUCCAAAGAUUUAUCGGUGCAGGAUGGGGCCCGCGGCCUAUCAGCUUGUUGGUGGGGUAAUGGCCUACCAAGGCGACGACGGGUAGCCGACCUGAGAGGGUGACCGGCCACACUGGGACUGAGACAGGCCCAGACUCCUACGGAGGCAGCAGUGGGGAAUAUGCACAAUGGGCGAAAGCCUGAUGCAGCGACGCCGCGUGAGGGAUGACGGCCUUCGGGUGUAAACCUCGUUUCAGCGAGGGACGAAGCGCAAGUGACGGUACUGCAGAAGAAGCGACCGGCUAACGUACGUCGCCAGCAGCCG
rnacentral:rRNA from 1 species